rnacentral:sRNA from 1 species
UAAUCAAUUAAAUCUUAAUCACAUAAAAUUAGAACAAAAAAAGUAUUCAACAAUUAAAAAAUUAUCAAAUCUCUGUGUUAUAUAAGUUUUGAUACUAUAUUUGAAUAAAGUGUAAUAUACCUUUUUAAUUUGUAUUCUUUAACUAAUUUAAGCUAACUAAUAUAUUUGCUUAUCUUAUAUCUAUCAAAACCGACUAUCGUUUCUUAUCUCUAUAGUAUUUUUGCAAGACUUUUUUGGUGGAUUUGGAUAAAAAUGCAUUCGGGUCAUAUGGUACAUUCCCCUAUUAAAUAAAUAUGGUGCACUCCUAUAUUAUUAGCUAAAAUAUUUAAAUUAUAAUUCAGAGUCAUAUCAUUAAUAAAACUAAUAUUAAUAAAAUAAAUGACUUUUUGGCAAGACGGAUUUGGAGGGACGGGUUUUUGAAUCAACAUUAAUAAAAAAGUAAAAUAUAAAUAAUCCACCGUUUUAAUAUGGGUUAAAUCUUUAAUUUAUUAUUUUUUAAGACCACUAAUAUUAAACAUAUCAAAUCAUCCUAAUUUAGAAAAAAUUAUAUAAAACCAAAAAUGUUAUGUGGUAGGUAUAAUGUUACUAUAUAUAAAAUUAAACUAUAAAAUAUAAAUGUAUUAGAGAAUGAUACAAUUGGCAAAACUUUUAUAUAUAAAAAAU